CCCACUGAUGUGAGAAAAAGAAAAUGUCUGGUUCUGAGGCUGAUGUUCCCUGGCAGUGAAUGAGGAGCUGCUGUGGAGGAGGCAUGGCAAGUGGCUUCGCCUCUGGUGCCCAAGGCAGAGCUAGCAGUGGAGGACUUAAUAUUCUAUGGGGCUCGAGUCUUGGAGUAGGAGCAGGAUAGCUAUCAGCUGUUUGUCCAUGAGCCAGUUGGAGGUGGCCCAGGAUGGAAGUCCGCCCCUCCAGCGGACUCUUUGUCCAGUGCCACUGCUGGACCUGGUGAUGAAAUAGCUGGUGCUCUAAGGACUUCCGGUGUUUGUGCAGGAGCAGGUGGUUGAGCAAGGAGUUCUGUAGGUGGCCCAGAAUGGGAAUCGAGCCCUCCAUCAGGCUCUUCUCCUGGUACCCGGGCUAGAGAUCGAGAUGGAGGGCUGUGGGCUGCAUUGAGCUCUGGUGUUGGUCGAGGAACAGGAGCAGGAGUGACAUCAGCCAGUGGUCCAGGAGCCAGUUCUGGAUGUAGCCCAGAAUCUGAUCUUCCAGGUGGCUCUCCAUUUGCUGCCAGUCCUGGAGCUAGUGAUGGUGUUCUAUGGAGCUCCAGUGUUAGUUCAGGCGCAUGAUGGAUCUCAGCAGGCUUUCCAGGAGCUCGUUAUGGUCUUGGCCCAGGGAGAGAAUCUGAUCUUUCAGUAGGCUCUCUGUCGGGUGCCAGUGCUCGACUUGGUGAUGGAGGACCUGUUGUUGUACCCAGCUCCAAUGUUGUUGCAAGAGCAGGAUCUGACUGAGGAAGUGGUCCUUGAGUCUGUUCUGGAAGUUGCCUAGGGUAAAAAUCCAGCUCUCCUGCUGGCUCUGCGUCUGGAGAUGGGAUAGGUGCUGCUCUGUUGAGCUUCGGUGUUGGUACAGGAUCAGGAUCGACAACACAAGGUGGUCCAGGAUCUGGCUCAGGCGGUGGCCCAGCUUAAGAAUCUGAACGUCCAGUGGCCUAUCCAUCUGCUGCCAGAGCCAAAGCUUGUGACGGAAUAGCUGGAGCUCUGUUGACCUCCUGUGGUGGAGCAGGAGCAGGAUCCAUGUCAGCUGGUGGUCCAGUAUCCGGUUCUGGAGGUGGCUCAGGAUGGAAAUCCACCUCUCCAUCUCAGUCUCCAUCUGAUGCUGGUGAUGGAGCUGGGGGAAGACCUGGGUUACAUCAAGCUCCAGUGUUGGAGCAGCAGCAGGAGCAGGAUCAACAUCAGCUGGUGGUCCGGGAGCCAUUUCUGGAGGUGGCCCAGGAUAGGGAUCCACCCCUCCAGGCAGCUCUCCAUCUGGUACCAGUGCUGGAGCUGAUGACAUAAUAGGUGGUGCGCUGUGGAGCUCUGGUGCUGAUACAGGAGCAGAAUUUUCCCCAGGAGAUUGUCCAGGAGCCGGUUCUUGGGGCUGAGUUAGCUCUUGAGCUUCUUUUACAAUUGGCGCUGGCCCCGGCUCUGGAGCUGCAAGAGGAGAAAAGUUCACCAACAUGACUGCCUUUCCUCAUGCCUUGCCAAUGAUGGAAAACACCCACUGCCAUGAAGAGAAGCCCAUUCCCAAGAAUUUCCACCCCAGGAAGUCUUCCCAGACUGUGGUCUACCACAGGAGGGUCUGAAGUUACUCAGAUCCCUGGCUCAACCCCAGCCUCUGGGGGCCUUCCCAUGUCCCCUUCACAAGCUCACAUGCAGUCAUGCCCAGUCUUCCUCACCCUCUGGCUCUGCCUCAGUGACCUCCAUUUGAUCCAGCCGUGCCAAGAGAAGUUGGGCAUCGUGCUCUAGAUGUGAGCCUGGCAUGUUCACGUGCACAUACUCCACCACGAGCUUUAGGCAGGGGAAGUCCGGGGGCUGAUUGAAAUCCUCCGAGUAUUCCUUUAGCCAUGUGCCCAGGAUAAAAGAGAUGGCGCUGGGGGUGGGUGGUGAAGAGCAGGGUCAGAAGCCUGGCUUUUCCCACCACACUGCCCUCCCAGGGCACCCCUGCAAGGGGCGAGUCCCUCUGUCUACCCCUGUACCGUUGACCUCCCAAAGGUCAGCACCACCCUGUAUCAUGCCCUCUGGCUGCCCUGAUGGUGGCAGGCCUGGUCACUGAUGGGGCUAGCACAGAGCCUUGUCCCUGGGAGCUCCCCAUCAAUGGUCUGUCCAACUCUCCCUCCUCGGGGAGCCUGAAUUACAUCCCUUUCUGUCCCCUAGCCCUCUCCGCACUGGAUAGUAACACUCUAAGGGAACGGAGAUGUGUGUCUGCAUGUUCACCUCAGUAGUGCUCCAGGAUUAUCUGAUGCCGGACGACACACGGAGACAGUACCCUGAUCCAGAUGCCCAGGCCAUAGAACCCCUCCUCUGGAGCGUGUGCACCAACGUGCUGCCUGGCUCUCUGCAUGCGUGUGAAGGCCUCUUCUCCCAUGGAGACUGUUCUCCCCUGGGACAGGGGCCCCUCAUGCAGCUGAGCACCCAUGACUGGUGAUCAGGAUUUGGGAGCAAUUUUCUCCACCCCCCGCUCCUCCUCCCCCAGCACCUCCUGUUUUGGGCCCCAAAUAGGGGAGGGGGCAACAGGUGAUGUGAGGGGAUUGUGGGAAGAUGAAUUCUCUCAGGGGCAUCUCUGAGCCCGCAGCCUCCCCUCUACUGUCCAGGAUGCCCAGGUUCCACUCCUAGCUCUCAAUGACUGCUUACGCCCUGCAGGGGGUGUCUCUAAACUCAUCCCUCUAGUGGAAUCUAGAUGUGUGGGGCCCAGGGUCUGCCAGCCCCAAUCCAGACACAGGCCCCCUAAAACCUCAGCCCCUCCUUCUCCACCCAAAGUCCACUCACCAUUUCAGCUGCUCCUGGGGCUCACCGUACUCAGCAGAAUAGGGGUGGUUACAUCCAUACCUAGAGGUGGUAUGAGGGUGUCACAUCUAAUGCACUGUGGACACUACUUGCUUAAGAUGUCUAGUGUUCCUGUCUGAUUCUCGGACUGGAGGCCCAGGAGGACAGGGCUUCUUAUCUGCUUUGUUCACUGAAUAGUGCUAAAUACCGAGAACUGUGUCUGCAACAGUAGGGGCUUCAUGGAUGACUGGUGAAUGAGUGAACCCAACCAGCACCCUCCCAGGUAUCUAAGUGUCCUGGUGCCCCUCUAUCAGCCUACAGGGAUCCCUGUUCUGGCUAUACCAAGGACCCACUAAAUGGAAUCUCAAACUCCCCUUUACGAAUGGGAAGUAGGUUUGCUCAAGAGUGCGUAGUCAGUGAGGGGUGAGGCAGAAAGCUUCUUAAUGGGGGAGAGGCAAAUAAUAAAUGUGAACAUCCUAGGCCCUCCAGCACCCUUCAUCUUAGAGCUGGGCUCCAGGUACACACUUCCUGUGGCUUAUCCCAUGUGGUCCUGACAGUAAUUCUAGCUGAUUGGACCUUUACCACCCCUCUUCUCAGGGAAGAAAACUGAGGCUCUGAGUAGUGAAGUGACAUUCUCCAGACUCACAGCUGGUAGCAGGUAGAGUCCCCAUUGGGCUAUGGAGGGUGGGGCGCUCACCUUCGGAGAAGCUGGUCUAGGACCUGCUGGGUGGUGGCGUAGGUUCUGUAGGCUCCCAGAAAGAUUUUGAUGUAGGAGAUGUCACCCUUUAUGUAGGCGGGCACCAGGAGCUCCACCAGCUUCUGCAGUGAGCCUGCCUUGAAGGUUUUCAUCACCCAGGCCUCAUUCAGGUCUUCGUCAGAACCACAGACACACUGGGGUGGGACAGAGGAGGGACACACUGUCAGAGGCAGCCCCAUGAACCACCAGGAGUGUUGUGGGCCCAGAGGUCAGACUAGGUACUCCGUCUCCCUCAGUGAUCUGUGGCAGGAGGUGGGACACAAGUGCCUUUAGCAGCAAAGAGAACUCAGCUUUCCAAGCAGGAUUGGAGGUGGGGGAUGAUUACAAACAUUAGGAACCUGAAGUGAUUUUGUUAACGAAGUAACCAUGGUAUCUCCCUGAAGGAAGAGCAGUAUCCCAGUGAGUCCUCACAAAACACCCCAUUCCAGAGGUGUGAAAACAGAAGCUUGGUGACAUCCAUUGUCAACUCAAAGUCACCUGAUCAGAGCCCAGAACUGUCUGAAACUAGGGCUCCGUGAGGUUUCCUCUGUGCUAGGUGAGGCCUGCUCUGUUCCUGACUCGGAGGGGAAGGUCUGGUGCAAGCUCACUUCCUCCCAGAUGAAGACAGUGCACAGAGCAGGCACCCAUGAGGAAGCAGCUGUGAUGUAUGACCUGCACAUGGAGAGACUCAUGUGACAAAGAGCUGAGGGAGGGUCCUGAUCAACAAAGAGGAAAUGAAGCCCCUAAGUCCAGCAGCUCUCAGAGUCCUGCUCAUAACAUGGAAGUGAAUAGGGAGCAGAUCUCCUGAGUCAGGACUCAGUUGAGACAACCACCACAGGCUCCUGAGAACUUGGGGCAGUUCCCAGAUUGUGACCUCCUGGGGACAGGGACCACGUGGGUCAUUUUCAGAACCAGCUCCUGGACCACCUGCUGAUGUUGAUCCUGAUCCUGCACUAAUACUGGAGCCCCACAGUCCACCAACUAUUCUGUCACCAGCUCCAUCACCAGCAUCAGAUGGACAGGCAGCUGGAGGCGUAGAUUUCAAUCCUGGGCCACCUCCAGAAAUGGCUCCCAGAUGACCUGCUGAUGUCGAUCCUGCUCCUGCUCAACAUAAGAGCUCUAUAGAGCACCAGAUCCUCCAUCUCCAGCUCUGCCUCGGUCACCAGAGGUUGAGUUAUUUCCCGCACCUCCUCCACAGCCACCCCUCAUUCACAGCUAGGAAACAUCAGCUCCAGAACCAGACUCUUUCUUCAAUGCACCUGAGUGGGAAUUUUUUUGGUUUUGUCAUAGUAUUUUUCCAGGUCAUUUUAUACUUUAUACUAUUUUAACAGGUAGAUUUCUCAUAGAAUAAAAUGUUUUAAUAGUUUUAAAGUGUGUAGUAUAGUGGCUUUAUGUACUUUUACAAUCUUAUUCAACCAUCAUCAGUAUCUAAUUCAGAACAUUUUCAUCACCACUGUGAUGGUUAAUGUUAUGUGUAAAUCUGGUUAGGCGAUGCUUCUCAGGGGUUUGGCAGAAAUUAUGUAAUCAGCCUCCAUUUUGUGAUCGGAUGUGAGCAGCCAAUCAGUUGGAAGAGGAGUUUCCUUGGAGGAGUGAACUACAAAUUCACACACCUCCUGGUACCUGGUAUCCAGCCAUUAAUCUGACCCAUGCCUUUUUCUUCAUCCUCGUUUUGAAGAACAGGCCCCUCUCAGUGAAUCACAGCACUGAUCUGUAGGAUUUUGGAACAAAGCCCUGCCAUCCUCUGCAGAUAACUACUCUCUUUUUGAGAAACAGCUUUUGGCUUGUUACUGGGCCUUAGAGACAGCACGCUUAACCGUGGGCCAGCAAGUCACCCUGUGGCCUGAGCUUCCCAUUAUGAACUGGAUGUUGCCUGACCCACAGAGUUGUAAGGUUGGACUUGCCCGGCAGCACUCCAUCAUUAAUCGAAGCAGUAUAUACAAGAUCGGGCCUGAGCAGGAUGUGAGGGUCCAAGUAAGUUGCAUGAGGAAAUGGCCCAAACGCUCAUGGUCUCCAUUCCUGUCACAUACCCUUAAUCUCCCAGGCUGCACCUAUGGCCUCAUGGGAAGCUCCUUAUGAUCAGGUGACUGAAGGUGAGAAAACUCGUGCUUUGUUUACAGAUGGUUCUGCGCAAUAUGCGGUCACUAGUUGAAAAUGGAGAACGGCGGCACUACAGCCCCUUGCUGGGAUCUCCCUGAAGGACCGUGGUGAAGGGAAAUCCUCCCAGUGGGCAGAACUUCAAGUAGUGCAGCUGGUUGUUGACUUUGCUAGGCAGGAGAAAUGGCCAGAUGUGCGAUUGAUUGUAUGUGUACUGAUGAACGGGCUGUGGCCAAUGGCUUAGCUGGAUUGUCCAGGACUUGGAAGGACAUGAUUGGGAAACUGGAGACAAGGAUUUAUGGGGAAGAGAGGUAUGUGGAUAAACCUCUUUGAAUGGGCCAAAGAAGUGAAGAUAUUUGUGUCUCAUAUGAACCCUCACUAAAGACUGAACUUAGCAGACGAAGACUUUAACAAUCAAGUGGAUAGGAUGACGUGUUCUGUGGAAACCACUCGUCCUCCUUUCUCAGGUACUCCCAUCAUUGCUCAUGAACAAAGUGGCCACGAUGGCAGGGUUGGAGGUUAUGCAUGGGCCCAGCAACAUGGACUUCUACUCAUCAAGGCCACCUUGGUGACAGCCACUGCUAAGUGCCCAAUCUGCCAACAGCAGAGACCAGCACUGAGUCCCUGAUAUGGCCCCAUCCCUCAAAGUGAUCAUCCAGCAACCUGCUGGCAAGCUGAUUACGUUGGACCACUUCCAUCAUGGACAGGGCAGCAUUUUGUUCUUAAGGGAAUAGACGUUUACCCUGAAUAUGGAUUUGCCUUCCCUGCAUGCAAUGCUUCUGCCAAAACUACCCCAUACACUUACAGAAUGCCUUGUCCACCAUCACAGUAUCCCACAUGCAUUUCCUUGAAUCAAGGGACUCACUUCACAGCAAAUAAAUUGCAGCAGUGGGCCCAUGCUCAUGGAAUUUACUGGUCUUACCAUGUCCCCCAUCAUCCUGAAGCAGCUGGUUUGAUAGAAUGAUGGAAUGGACUCCUGAAGACAUAAUUACAGUGCCAGCUCGGUAGCAAUACCUUGCGGGGUUGGGGCAGUGUUCACCUAGGGGCUGUAUAUGCUCCAAACCAGAGUCCCAUAUAUGGUGUUGUAUCUCCCGUAUCCAGGAUUCUUGGGUCCAGGAAUCAAGGGGUGGAAAUGGGAGUAGCACCACUCACUAUUACCCCUAGUGACCCACUCACAAGACUUUUUGCCUCCUGUAUCCUAGCUUCUUGGUUUGUUUUUUGAUGUGCCCAAAUGGGUUGCUUGAGUGAGCUAGCUUGAUUAGUUUCACCUUUGAAGUUCUGCUGUCCUGUCACCAGACGGCUAGAGGUGUUAUCAGGUAUAUCAGUCUAGGAGUCCAUUCACUUUUCUUGUAUGGAUUCAGCUCAGGUGUCCAGGUAGGCGAUCAUCUAGUGUAUGGUGCAGGCUAUGUCCUACAGUCUUAGAGGGCCAGAGGUGAUUGGUGUAGAUACUAGUAUCUGGUUGCAGCAGGGGAUCACACUCUGAACAAGGUGGGGGGCUGAGAGAUGUCCCCCAUGUAUCUGUGAGGAAAGUGUGUCCCUUUUCCCUAGAGCGUUCAGGUGGGUGGGUUCUGCAGAUGGACCAUGGUCACCAAAGGCUUUUGCUCAUAAGGACCGGGAGGUACCAGUUAUCCUUGGAUCCAUGUCACAAGUGGCUGGGUGACCUGAGUGGAGCUACCAGUCCUUUUUCCCAUGAUGUGUGUAGGUGAGGACCUUGUUUAAUAGGCAAAGUAGAAAGUAGUGUGAAAUACCAAACACCCACCUCUCCACCACACAGCUGAGAUGGUUGCAGCCUGCCAUCAAGGGCUUAUUCUCCUGGAAUAGGUCCUCACAGUGGGUCCAUGCAGGGGGAAAAGAUAUUCAAAGUCCAUCGACCAUUUCUGCCUGGACAGGAGCCGCUUCUUUCCUGAGCUCUGCUGGUUAGUGCAGCUGCAAAUUAUCUUUUCCCCCAGCUGUGAAUUUAUUCCUACUCCAAAGCCUGGAGGUUGGCUCUGGGCAUUCAUCAGGGCCUAUCUCAGGCCCAGGGACAUCAACAGCCACUGAAGCUGACUUGGGGGCAGGGGGCACAGUAAAAUAUACGGAAGUACUUAGCUUUUGCCAAGAGAGCCAUUCUUCUCAUGUUCUUGCGAGUAGGCUGUGCGGCUGGCUGCUUCUCCCUGAGGAAAUUGUGGCAGAACACUACUAACAGCCCACUGCAGUCGCGUCCAGGAAUGGUGCCUGAGGGAUCUCUGUGAUUCAGGUCCAGUAACUCCUCUCCACUUCUGAACCAUCUCUUGCCCUGCUGCUCAGUCCAUCUUCUAACUUUGCCUUUGAUAUUCAGGGCUCCUAGCUUGUCAUAAAUAUAAUCACUUCAGUUGUUUUUUCAGGUCUUUGUUGUCAAAGCGAUCGCAGAAACUGUCUGGCUAUUCUGCCGUCUUGGUACCACCCCCUUUUCCUAGCUUUUCGAGGAAGUGUCAUAUCAAUUUCCAAAGUGCUUGUACCAUUUUAUGUUCUUACCAGCAGUAUCUAAGUGUUCCAGUCUCUCCACAACCUCUCCAACAUUUAUUAUUGUGUGUUUUUUGGAUUAAUGCCAGCCUUGUUGGAGUGAGAUGGAAUCUCAUUGUAGUUUUGAUUUGCAUUUCUCUAAUGGCUAAUGAACGUGAGCAUUUCCUCAUGUAUCUGUUAGCUAAGUGAAUGGCUCCUUUAGUAAAGUGCCUGUUCAUAUCCUUUGCCCAUUUUUCAAUUGGGUUUUUUGUCUUUUUGUUUUUGAGUUUUUGCAGUAUCAUGUAGAUUUUAGAGAUCAGCCACUGAUUAGAGGUGUCAUCAAAGGUAUAGAUCUUUAAGGAAGCAGAGUACCACAUCUUUCUCCCAUGGAGUGGCUGGUGGGUUCAAACCACCGACUUUUUGGUUAGCAGCAAAAUGCUUAACCAUUGCACCACCAGGGCUCCUUUCUGCUGAAUAGUACUGUUUUUUGCUGUAACAGCUGUUCCUUCUUUAGCCAAUGUUGCUACUGAGCACAGGCAUCACAGAUCAUAUUGGUAAUGCUGAGGUCUAGGUGCUAGAACUUAACACCUCUCAUUGUCCAGAGAAGACAACAACCUUCACUGCCAUCCUCCCCAGAAAAUGGAUACCCUAGAAAAAGGCAAGCAUCUCUUCACCUUACUCUCUCUCUUCCAAACCAAAGUCGCCUGCAAAGCAUCUGAUUGGUGGAGCCAAGGUCUCAAAUAGUGGUAUGUAAUGCUGGUGUCAGGGCAGCAUAUUCACAAGAUGCAAGUUGGCAAGAAAAAGACUAAUGUCCACCAUGUUCCCAAAACAGAUCUAGGAUGACGGUCCAGACUCAGACUCUAAUAGGUCUAACAGCACUGAGGUGCUAGGUGUUUAUGUUUAUGCUUGGCAUUAUACCCCUUGCUUUGCUACCAGAAAGUUACACUUAAUGCUUUGUCUUAAUUUUAGGAUCUUUAUGAGCUCUAUCAGACCCUGCAAACAGGGAAAUAACAUAAGCUAAAGGUUUGAACAUAGCCCCAGAUGCUGACGGGUCUUUAAACAUGACAAAAAAUGUAUUCAAGAUUAAAAUUCAACACGGAUUUGUUACAUAUAUAUUUACUGCAAUAAAAAAAGAAGAAAAUGGUUUGGAAAUAAAAUGCUUCUAUUUUAUAUUUAUACAUGCAUGGAGAAAUAAAGCAAAUGUGGCAAAAUAUUAAUACCUGGUAGUUUUGAAUUUUUUUCAAAAUGAAAGUUAAACAAAUCAAUGUAUAGUAAAUUCUGCAAACAGCCGAAAUGUGCUUCAGCUGAGGGAUAGAUAAAUUAUGGUACAACAUACCAAAGAAUACAGGAAUGAGCUACUAAUACAUGCAUCAACAUAGAUGAACCUCAAAAACAUUAAGCUAAGUGAAAUAAGCCAGACUCACAAGGCUGCAUCCUGUAUGAUUCCAUUUAUAUGGUGUUCUUAAAAAGGCAAAGCUUUAUGGGCAAAAUACAGAUUGGCGGCAUGGGGGAAUGUUUGGAAUGAUGGACCUGUUCUGUAUUUUGAUUGUGGUGGUGGUUACAUGAUUGUAAACAUUUGUCAAAACUCUCAGAACUAUACACCUACAAGGGUGAAUUUUAGAACAUGUAAAUGAUACCUUAAUUUUAAAAUUUGAAAAAAAUUUCAAUGAAUAACACCUGCAUUCAUGAUUCAACAAUAUUUAUUGAGCCCCUCCAAUGUGCCAGAUACUCUUUAAUGACCAUAUACUUAAGAAAACUAAUCCCAAUGUAGAGAAUGCAUUAGAAAUAUUCUAAGUUACUCUACCAAUUCCUUAGACUUGAUUCACGCCAAACGUAAUGCAUGAAGAACUUUAGCAGUGGUGGGAAAUAGUGGCAAGUAGUUUCUUUAAUCCAUAAAUGACAAACUACUGAAGUCUGGGGUGAAGACACGUUGCGACCAAUGAAUUUGACACCCCCUGGAACACCAAUUUAGAAAGUCAAUUUUAGGUGAUAAUUGGCUGUAUGAAACUCACAUUUUGGCAUCAGUAGACCUAGAACUCCUGGUGGAAGGGACUGGGGGAAAGAGUGGUGAGGGAGGUUAGAUUCCUAAGUAGUAAGGUAGGGAAAAGAGAGCAUUGACCUAGGAGGUCAGGAAAUCUUGCUGAUCCUAUCCCCGUCUUACCUGUACACCCUUGGUCAAGGUGACUUUGCCUUUCCAGACACGUCUGCUGGCCCAUAAAGUGAAUGGGUUGGAAAAGUGAUCAAUCAAACUAGAGUUUUCUCUCUGAUCACCUGUGUGAUCUUGGACAAGUCACUUGACCUCUCUAGGCUUUAAUUUCUUAUGUAUUAAACGAGAGAUUUAGAUGAAAUGGGUAUAUUUUAUAUUUUGAGUAAUGUAGUUUGAUCUAUCUCUUACUGGUGGGAUAAAGUUCAAAUUCUUUAACAAAGCUACACAUAGGCUGUACAGACCCUGUGUAUUUAAACAAUUUGAGUCAUCUAAAAUCUAUAUCUGAACACCAUCUUGGCGUACCAAUCUCAUGUGAUCCCACACAAAAAGUACUGCUUUUGCCAUCAGGAAUAAUCUGCUCACCAGACUGCCAUUCUAGAUCCAGGGCCUAGCCCAAAAGCUCUGGGACAAUCCCAUGGACAUAUAGGCCAGAGUUCUUUGGGGCAUCUGGUGAACCCCACACAUGAGGUAGAGAAUUGGGGAGUGCUCCAAAGGAGAAAACAGGCAACAAGUUCCAUGUAGAUCCCAGCCUGGGCUCUGGGCAUCCUGCCUAAAUGGUACUGCCACACCUACAAGAGGAGGACAGAAAAUUUCAAGGAAGCCCUCUAAAGCAUGGGUCCCCUGAGGCAUAGAUCCUGAUAAGGGGAGCCCUUGGCCCAUACAUAAGGGUGGAGCUUUUCUGUAGUAUGUUUUACAAGCCUGUCAAAUCCACAAGGACUGGAACCUCCUGAUAAUAUGUUCAAAGUAUGUGAAACAAGUCUUGCCAUCCUUCCUGCUAAGGAGCAUUCUGGCUAUGAGCUGUGUUUUUUUUUUUUUUUAAAUUAACUUUUAUUAAGCUUCAAGUGAACGUUUACAAAUCCAAUCAGUCUGUCACAUAUAAGUUUACAUACAUCUUACUCCCUACUCCCACUUGCUCUCCCCCUAGUGAGUCAGCCCUUUCAGUCUCUCCUUUCAUGACAAUUUUGCCAGCUUCCCUCUCUCUCCUCCCAUCCCCCCUCCAGGCAAGAGUUGCCAACACACUCUCAAGUGUCCACCUGAUUUAAUUAGCUCACUCUUCAUCAGCAUCGCUCUCCCACCCGCUGACCAGUCUCUUUCAUGUCUGAUGAGUUGUCUUCGGGAAUGGUUCCUGUCCUGUGCCAACAGAAGGUCUGGGGAGCAUGGCCGCCGGGAUUCCUCUAGUCUCAGUCAGACCAUCAAGUAUGGUCUUUUUAUGAGAAUUUGGGGUCUGCAUCCCACUGAUCUCCUGCUCCCUCAGGAGUUCUCUGUUGCGCUCCCUGUCAGGGCAGUCAUCGAUUGUGGCCGGGCACCAACUAGUUCUUCUGGCCUCAGGAUGAUGUAGGUCUCUGGUUCAUGUGGCCCUUUCUGUCUCUUGGGCUCUUAGUUAUUGUGUGACCUUGAUGUUCUUCAUUCUCCUUUGAUCCAGGUGGGUUGAGACCAACUGAUGCAUCUUAGUUGGCCGCUUGUUAGCAUUUAAGACCCCAGACGCCACAUUUCAAAGUGGGAUGCAGAAUGUUUUCAUAAUAGAAUUAUUUUGCCAAUUGACUUAGAAGUCCCCUCAAACCAUGUUCCCCAGACCCCCGGCCCUGCUCCGCUGAUCUUUGAAGCAUUCAUUUUAUCCUGGAAACUUCUUUGCUUUUGGUCCAGUCCAAUUGAGCUGACCUUGGGCUGCAUUUUUAAGAUAAAUCUGGGAUCUUUGGAUCUGUCUUCUCUUUCUCUCUCUCAAAUCUAAUCACCAGAAACUUCAAAAUAAAAAAAAUAAUAACAUCCCUCAGGGGUACAAUACAUGUUCAAGAUCUUUUCCGUUCUUUCUAGAGGCUGGGGAGAAGUGGGUACCUCUGCAUUCUGAGUUCUUAGGGAGGAGGUCUGAAAAAGGAAGGUUGACAUUAACUCUUUUCUUUGCCAGUCCAAAGUCAAUGAUAGAAUUAGACAUUAGUUGUUUGAUUAUUUCAGCAAAACCCUUAAUCUCACAAAUAACUGGCGCUGUUUUCCCAGCAUCUCUGUCUGUGAGGUUUCUUUCCUUAAACUGUUCAGCUAUUUCAAAGGGUAGAGAUUAGAGACCACCAGACUCCCUCUCCAAACCCUGUCUUUGGAGGGGCAGGUUAAGAAGUUUCUCUAUGAUCAAGUCCUGUGGAAAAGACCUUCUCACUCUUUCUCGCCCUUAAGUGUCCUGUUCAUUCACAGUGCUUGACAGUGAAAACUUCCAAUUACAAUUCUUUGCUUCUCAUUUGGGCUUCUGUCCCCUUAGAGUGAAUGCUACACAAUAGCCAGCGUGGAAAGAGUCUCAUGAUUAAUAAUGCAAGAUAGCAGACUAUCCCUCACUUCAAGCUCCCUUCAGUACUCAAUGCAAUGGCAUGGCCUACCCUUUGAAGCACUGUGUGCUCCUAACAAGUUUUCAGAGUCCGUGUGCUCACAAAUGACAGACUUAUACCAUGGCAAAUUGCCAAGAAGGCCUCCAGCCAUGUCUGUAGGAUCCACCAAGGGUCUCUGGCACACCACCAUUAACUACUCCAGAGAGUAGGUUAUGUCAAAUAUAACAGGGGCAUCUUGAAUGAAGGGACUCUGUGUUAUUUGACUGUUAUCUCUGGACCUUGUUUAGUGCCUUGACUACAGUAAGGAUCCAUAAAUGUUUGUUGAAUGACUAAAUGAAAG